AUGCGCGUCGGAAAUGUUUCCAAGGUCGAUGUGAUCGCCGUCGGCACGCUACCUCUACAUCUACCUUCAGGGUUAAUUUUAGACCUGAAUAAUUGUUACUUGGUGCCAGCGUUGAGCAUGAACAUUAUAUCUGGAUCUUGUUUGAUGCGAGACUGUUAUUCACUUAAAUUAGAGAAUAAUGGUUGUUCUAUUCAGAUGAGUAAUAUCUUUUAUGGUCAUGCACCCUUGGUGAGUGGUCUAUUUUUGUUUAAUCUCAAUCGUAGUGAUACACAUAUUCGUAAUAUUGAAGCCAAAAGAUGUAAAGUUAAUAAUGAUAGUGCAACUUAUUUGUGGCACUGCCGUUUAGGUCAUAUUGGUGUAAAGCGCAUGAAGAAACUCCAUGCUGAUGGGCUUUUCGAAUCACUUGAUUAUGAAUCACUUGAUGCUUGCGAACCAUGCCUCAUGAGCAAGAUGACUAAGACUCCGUUCUCCGGAACAAUGGAGCGAGCCACUGAC
rnacentral:rRNA from 1 species